ensembl:lncRNA
GAUAACACUCAGCAAGUGCGCAAUGCACGAAUGAAUAAGAGAAAGGCCAUGCCCCAACUUAUCUGUCUUCCAUAUUUCAUUGUCUAAUAGCUCUUGCAGCAGGCUUAUAAAGGCAGGCUCCCUAUUUAAGAGAGGAAAUGACAAAGCCAUUAACCUUUGUGGCCCUGUUUUCAGGCAGGACUCAGAAACCACAGAAGGCCCUGGGUGCUUGACGUUGAAGUGUCUACACUGCUUUCCAUCCAUUACUUGCCUCUCCAGUAGAUUUUGCUGUUAUUUUCAUGGAACAAAGACUUUGCCAGACCAGUUUCUAAGUUGGAGAAGUGAAGCCACUUGGUCACUGUUUAACUGAACCAAUUAACUGGAGGAGAAGCUUGCUGGUGCAAACUUGGCUGCUCUCAUCAAAGGAGGAGCUUAGGCCCUUGCUGUCGCUGGGAAUGGCUGCUGUUCUCAUCAGGGGAGCUCCGAUCCUCACUGUAAGCAUCACUUCUGGACUCCAAUGUGGAUCCCUCAGCCUGGUGACAUAAAUCCUUCAUCCCACUGGUGUAGGUUUUCUGGCUUCCACCACUGGGCUUUGGGCUUUGCUGGUGCAGAUCCUCAAUAUGGACAAGCAUGAGACAUUGCUGUGGGCUCUAGGCUUCUGGCUAGACUUGUGGGGGGCACUGCCUCAUGCUCUAAGCCUUUAGCUGGGCUUGUAUGGGACAUUGCUGUGGGACCCAGGCCCUUAGCUGGAUUCUUUAGGUCUCUAGUGUGUGGCUAAUCUCUUGCACUACUCCAUAUUUUUGGGUAAAUAUCACAAAAUAAUCCUAUAAAUUAUGUGUCCUGUAUUAAAUGUAUUCCCUUGCCAAAACCCUGACUGUAACACUUUCUACCCUAGUCAAUUUGUUAAAAUAAAAG